rnacentral:rRNA from 1 species
UACGUAGGGUGCAAGCGUUGUUCGGAUUUACUGGGCGUAAAGCGCACGUAGGCGGUCUUUUAAGUCGGGGGUGAAAUCCUGGAGCUCAACUCCAGAACUGCCUUCGAUACUGGAAGACUUGAGUCCGGGAGAGGUGAGUGGAACUGCGAGUGUAGAGGUGAAAUUCGUAGAUAUUCGCAAGAACACCAGUGGCGAAGGCGGCUCACUGGCCCGGUACUGACGCUGAGGUGCGAAAGCGUGGGGAGCAAACAGG